GAUCAUUACURAUACGUGUUAKGGGGYWCGWUGYUGGUCUUCUAGCACGCCUGUGUCGYGCCAUGNACAUUGUCGGUCUUCKCACAYCUGUWGGCACCUAGCGAACGUCUCCCAUUAGGAGCCSCCCCAUGUMUUUAGGGGUCGAGGCGUUCACUCUAUCACUACACAUCAAUGCCUGUACCAACUGAUGUCUUACUGAGCUCCGCGGAGCACAAACAUAAUACAACUUUCAACAACGGAUCUCUUGGCUUUCGCAUCGAUGAAGAACGCCGCGAAAGUGCGAAACGUAAUGUGAAUUGCAUAAUUCAGUGAAUCAUCGAAUCUUUGAACGCAUCUUGCGCUCCUCGGAAUUCCGAGGAGCAUGCCUGUUUGAGUGUCGUGAAGUCUCUCAACACCCAUGGCCUUUGAGCCUCUGGGGUUGGAUUUGGAUGUUGCCGUCUUGACGGACGGCUCGUCUCGAAAUGCAUCAGCUGGUCCGCCUCGGUUCUAUCGACAACGGUGUGAUAAGACAUGGCUCUCGUCGCCGUCGUAGACUCCAGUGUGGCAGCUUACAAUCGUCCUCGCGGACRACGUUUACAUUCGGACCUCAAAUCAGGUAGG
rnacentral:rRNA from 1 species